CCACGGCUUCAUUCUUGAAGUCAGUGAGACCAAGAACCCACCAAUUCCGGACACAGUGUCAGGCGCCUGUAGUCCCAGCUCCUCGGGAGGCUGAGGCAGGAGAAUGGCGUCAACCUGGGAGGCGGAGCUUGCAGUGAGCCGAGAUCACGCCACUGCACUCCAGCCUGGGCGACUGAGCAAGACUCCGUCUCAAAAGAACAGCAACAACAACAACAACAACAAACCAUAGUCCUUUGUCAGUCUUUAGUCUACUACUUCUGACCUAUUAACAGCUCCUGGCCUUCCAUUUCUAGUUAUCCCAGAAGGACAUACUGGAACACCUUGCAGGUUACACACUUUGAUGGCACUAACUGCAUGUUAGAAUUGUGUGGCAAAGAACUGAAGGCAUCAGUCCAAAAGCCCAAAGAACUAAAUACCGCCAACAACCCCAUGAACUUGGAAGUGGGUCCUUUCCCAGUGAGCUCUGGAGAUGACAAAAGACAGACAACACCUUGAUUGUAGUCUGUGAGAAAACCUGAAGCAGAAGACCCAGCUAACUUGUGCUCAGAUUCCUGACCAAUACAAAUUGUGAGACAAAUGUGUAAUUUUUUAAGCCAAGUUUUUGAUAAUGUAAUAUGAAGUGAUAGAUAACUAAUACAAAAUAGAGAACUGGAUACAUAUGUUCACGAGCUAUUCUGGCAUAAAAAUACAUUCAAUAAAAAACUUGUUGCUACUCUGUAAAAAAAAAAAAAAAA
rnacentral:lncRNA from 1 species